AAUGAACGCUGGCGGCAUGCCUAACACAUGCAAGUCGAACGAGACCUUCGGGUCUAGUGGCGCACGGGUGCGUAACGCGUGGGAAUCUGCCCUUGGGUUCGGAAUAACUCGCCGAAAGGCGUGCUAAUACCGGAUGAUGACGUAAGUCCAAAGACUUAUCGCCCAAGGAUGAGCCCGCGUAGGAUUAGCUAGUUGGUGGGGUAAAGGCCCACCAAGGCGACGAUCCUUAGCUGGUCUGAGAGGAUGAUCAGCCACACUGGGACUGAGACACGGCCCAGACUCCUACGGGAGGCAGCAGUGGGGAAUAUUGGACAAUGGGCGAAAGCUUGAUCCAGCAAUGCCGCGUGAGUGAUGAAGGCCUUAGGGUUGUAAAGCUCUUUUACCCGGGAUGAUAAUAACAGUACCGGGAGAAUAAGCCCCGGCUAACUCCGUGCCAGCCGCCGCGGUAA
rnacentral:rRNA from 1 species